rnacentral:rRNA from 1 species
UAGGGAAUCUUCGGCAAUGGGGGGAACCCUGAUCGAGCAACGCCGCGUGAGUGAAGAAGGCUUUCGGAUCGUAAAGUUCUGUUGUCAAGGAAGAACGAGCGUGAGAAUGGAAAGUUCAUGCUGUGACGGUACGUAACCAGAAAGGGACGGCUAACUACGUGCCAGCAGCCGCGGUAGUACGUAGGUCCCGAGCGUUGUCCGGAUUUAUUGGGCGUAAAGCGAGCGCAGGCGGUUAGGAAAGUCUGAAGUGAAAGGCAGUGGCUCAACCGUUGUAGGCUUUGGAAACUGUAUAGCUUGAGUGCAGAAGGGGAGAGUGGAAUUCCGUGUGUAGCGGUGAAAUGCGUAGAUAUGUGGAGGAACACCGGUGGCGAAGGCAACUCUCUGGUCUGUAACUGACGCUGAGGCUCGAAAGCGUGGGGAGCGAACAGG